UACAGAGGGGGCAAGCGUUGUUCGGAAUUACUGGGCGUAAAGGCGCGUAGGCGGCCAACUAAGUCAGACGUGAAAUCCCUCGGCUCAACCGGGGAACUGCGUCUGAUACUGGAUGGCUUGAAUUCGGGAGAGGGAUGCAGAAUUCCAGGUGUAGCGGUGAAAUGCGUAGAUAUCUGGAGGAAUACCGGUGGCGAAGGCGGCAUCCUGGACCGAGAUUGACACUGAUGAGCGAAAGCCAGGGAGCAAACGGG
rnacentral:rRNA from 1 species